rnacentral:rRNA from 1 species
GACGAACGCUGGCGGCGUGCUUAACACAUGCAAGUCGAACGGAAAGGCCCUGCUUUUGUGGGGUGCUCGAGUGGCGAACGGGUGAGUAACACGUGAGUAACCUGCCCUUGACUUUGGGAUAACUUCAGGAAACUGGGGCUAAUACCGGAUAGGAGCUCCUGCUGCAUGGUGGGGGUUGGAAAGUUUCGGCGGUUGGGGAUGGACUCGCGGCUUAUCAGCUUGUUGGUGGGGUAGUGGCUUACCAAGGCUUUGACGGGUAGCCGGCCUGAGAGGGUGACCGGCCACAUUGGGACAGAAGUACGGCCCAAAACCCUAAGGGAGGCAGGAGGGGGGAAUAUUGCACAAUGGGCGGAAGCCUGAUGCAGCAACGCCGCGUGCGGGAUGACGGCCUUCGGGUUGUAAACCGCUUUCGCCUGUGACGAAGCGUGAGUGACGGUAAUGGGUAAAGAAGCACCGGCUAACUACGUG